rnacentral:rRNA from 1 species
AUACGGAGGGUGCAAGCGUUAAUCGGAAUUACUGGGCGUAAAGCGUACGUAGGCGGUUCGUUAAGUUAGAUGUGAAAGCCCCGGGCUUAACCUGGGAACUGCAUUUAAAACUGGCGAACUAGAGUUGAGUAGAGGGGAGUGGAAUUUCAGGUGUAGCGGUGAAAUGCGUAGAGAUCUGAAGGAACACCAGUGGCGAAGGCGACUCCCUGGACUCGAACUGACACUGAGGUACGAAAGCGUGGGUAGCAAACGGGAUUAGAAACCCCAGUAGUCC